AACGAACGCUGGCGGCAUGCCUAACACAUGCAAGUCGAACGAGAUCUUCGGGUCUAGUGGCGCACGGGUGCGUAACGCGUGGGAAUCUGCCCUUUGGUUCGGAAUAACAGUUGGAAACGACUGCUAAUACCGGAUGAUGACGAAAGUCCAAAGAGUUAUCUCCGGAGGAUGAGCCCGCGUAGGAUUAGCUAGUGGGUGUGGUAAAGGCGAACCAAGGCGACGAUCCUUAGCUGGUCUGAGAGGAUGAUCAGCCACACUGGGACUGGGACACGGCCCAGACUCCUGCGGGAGGCAGCAGUGGGGAAUAUUGGACAAUGGGCGAAAGCCUGAUCCAGCAAUGCCGCGUGAGUGAUGAAGGCCUUAGGGUUGUAAAGCUCUUUUACCCGGGAUGAUGAUGACAGUACCGGGAGAAUAAGCUCCGGCUAACUCCGUGCCAGCCGCCGCCGUAA
rnacentral:rRNA from 1 species